CCACCCAAUUUUUACACUCCACAACACUCCAAUUUCCUCUCUUUAAGUCGAGGAAUUCUACAUUAUCACACUUGCACCACGUUAUAAAUAACAAGUCAAUCACAUUUCUUCUUUUUAAACAAAAAUAUAAUAAAAAUAAUUUUUUUCAAUCGAAAUAAAACAUAUACUCCUAAAAAAAAUAUUUAAUUAAUUUGUUACGCCAUGUCAUCGAUCUACCCAUUGCAUUCUAGAAUUUUUCCUU
rnacentral:lncRNA from 1 species